CUUCCCAGUCCCGCCUCGCCCGCGGCGGCCCCGGCAUCAGGUGACAGCCCGGAAACAGCGGAAGCGGAUGAGGGAAGCGCGGCCGCGGCCCGGGGGGGCGGUGCAGAGCUGCAGGAUCCUCGGCCUCUUCCCGGCCCCCUGCGCGGCUCUCAUGCGGCUCCCUCGCUGACACCUGAAAUCCACCUCUCGCCGUCCUCCUGGGGAUCGCGGGGUCGCCGAGCUUGCCGCCCUCGGCGGUUGAAGUCAUCGUUGUGCGGGCCCGCGGCGGUCGUCCAUGGAGAUCAGGCGGGGCGGCGAUGGCCCCCAACGGGGGCCAGUCCUGCACAUCGUGGUGGUCGGCUUUCAUCACAAGAAGGGCUGCCAGGUCGAGUUCUCUUACCCACCCCUGAUUCCAGGAGAUGGACAUGAUAGUCACACCUUACCUGAAGAGUGGAAGUAUCUGCCCUUCCUUGCCUUACCAGACGGCGCACACAACUACCAAGAAGAUACUGUGUUUUUUCACUUGCCACCUAGAAAUGGAAAUGGAGCCACUAUAUAUGGUAUCUCUUGCUAUCGACAAAUUGAAGCCAAGGCAUUGAAAGUACGGCAAGCAGAUAUCACCAGAGAGACUGUUCAAAAAAGUGUCUGUGUUCUAAGCAAGCUGCCUCUCUAUGGCUUACUCCAAGCAAAACUUCAACUCAUUACACAUGCAUAUUUUGAAGAGAAGGAUUUUUCACAAAUUUCCAUUCUAAAGGAGCUCUAUGAACAUAUGAAUAGUUCCCUGGGAGGAACUUCAUUAGAAGGAUCCCAGGUAUAUCUUGGUUUAUCUCCUCGGGAUCUUGUGCUUCAUUUUCGACACAAGGUUCUAAUCCUAUUUAAACUAAUUCUUCUUGAAAAAAAGGUUCUCUUUUAUAUUUCUCCAGUGAAUAAAUUGGUGGGUGCCCUGAUGACUGUGUUAUCCCUUUUUCCAGGCAUGAUUGAACAUGGACUCAGUGACAGUUCUCAGUAUAGACCCCGAAAAAGUAUGUCUGAAGAUGCUGGGCUUCAGGAAAGUAAUCCCCCUGCAGAUGAAUUUGUUUCUGUGCCUGCUUCUGACAUUUCAAAUACCAACUUGGGAACUGUCAAGAAAAUCCUGGGAAACCAUGGAGGAGAUGCAGCCAUCAAAACUGAAGAACCUUUGUUCCAGGUAGAAGAUGAUAGUAGUGAACAAGAAGCCAGUGAUAGCAAUCAAUAUCUGAAACCUCCUUCUCGCCCAUCUCCAGAGUCUUCAGAAAGUGACUGGGAGACCUUGGAUCCUACUGUCUUGGAGGACUCCUCCUUGAAAGAACGAGAACAGGUGGGGUCAGAACAGACAAACUCAUUUCCAAAGGACUCUUUGCCCUCAGAUAGUCCUCCGAUUACUGUUCAACCUCAAGCUAAUACCGGCCAGGUGGUCCUAAUACCAGGGCUGAUUUCUGGCUUGGAGGAGGACCAGUAUGGCAUGCCCCUGGCCAUCUUCACAAAGGGAUAUCUGUGUUUGCCUUAUAUGGCAUUGCAGCAGCAUCAUCUUCUCUCUGAUGUCACCAUUCGAGGAUUUGUUGCUGGAGCUACUAAUAUCCUUUUUCGACAACAGAAACACCUCAGUGAUGCCAUUGUGGAAGUAGAAGAAGCUCUGAUCCAGAUCCAUGAUCCAGAACUUAGGAAGCUGCUCAAUCCAACCACUGCAGACCUAAGGUUCGCAGAUUACCUAGUGAGGCACGUGACUGAGAACCGGGACGACGUCUUCCUGGAUGGCACGGGCUGGGAGGGAGGUGACGAGUGGAUCCGAGCACAGUUUGCAGUCUAUAUUCACGCACUGUUGGCCGCCACACUGCAGCUAGAUAAUGAAAAGAUCUUAUCGGACUAUGGGACGACCUUUGUUACAGCAUGGAAGAACACUCACAACUACAGGGUCUGGAACAGCAACAAGCAUCCAGCACUUGCAGAAAUAAAUCCAAACCAUCCUUUCCAAGGACAGUACUCAGUGUCAGACAUGAAGUUAAGAUUCUCACAUUCUGUUCAAAACAGUGAGCGUGGCAAAAAACUUGGAAACGUCAUGGUUACAACAAGUCGGAAUGUUGUACAAACAGGAAAAGCUGUUGCUCUCCAAGUCAUUUAAGAACCACUGGCCUGGGAAAAGUUUCCCCAAGACUUUCAAAAUACUUAGGAGAGCAGUGUCUUAUCCCCAGACACUAGUCAGGUUCCUCUUAGACAUUCCCAUGGCCAGUCGGUUGGAGGAGCUUUUUCCAGUGCGAAGACAGCUAUGUCUUCAUGGCUUUCUACUUUCACCAGUUCCACUCCACAGAGUCUCACUGAGCUGCCUGACGGGAAACCCUGAGCCGAGCAAGCCACCCAGAAGCUGCUGUCGCUUUUUUAAGUUUUAAGCGUCCCCUGUCUGUCUGCUGCUCCCAGACUGUUCCUCUUCAUCGGCUGCAGGUCCACAGCAGGGGACCAAUAGGUCGAACUGUUUACAUGGACGGUUGCCCUCUGUCUAAAUGAAUGUCAUGGGACACUGAAAAGAUGAAAACCACAACCGCAGCCGGGACGGCUUCCCAGGUUGGGGUUUAAAUUGACUACGUUUAUUUCAGUCUGAGCCUGAUUAAAACACACAGCGAACCUUCUAAUGAAUUUUGAGUUCUGACAUUAUACAUUUGUUUACUUUAGAAAAGUUUCUCCUUGAUGUAAGUUUUGUUCUGUUGUUGCUGUUUGAAUAUCCAGAUGGAUAUUUAUACGUGCUAAGAUUAAGUUAUAUUACUAUUUUAAUUUCUCUAAAGUGAGCCCUAAAAUGUUCUGAUAGCGUGGAGGGGCCAUACAAUCCAACCCUUUGCUGUUAUUUUGCUGAGUUAUAUGAGGAUUUUUUUGUUGGUUGGUUCUUCACCUACAAAACAAAUUUGUCAUUCACUUCCUCCUGGAAACCAUAGAAGUCAGAGGUGGUAGUUCUGAGGAUGGAGUGUUUUGUGGUUUUAAUUUAUCCUUUUCCCAUCCUACACACUUGCUUUGAGGUGUCAAGGAGUGUCACUGUGCUUUCCUCCUCUUCCUAAUUGUUCAAGUAGAUGUGCAAAGAAUGAGCAUGGUGAUGGUUACAGCCGAGUUGCAACAGUUUAACUGUGUAUUUAGGGCAAGACUUUUAAGGACCUAGGUAGGUUCUGUUGCAAUCUUUACAUGCGUUUUUUAACCCGAAGUUUGUGCCUUCUAUUUCUUCUUUUGGACGGUUUUCCAUUGGGUGUUUACAGAUUUAACAGGUUUUUUCUCUGUCUUACUCUUCAUGAAGCUUUUCGAGGCACUUGGCCUUCCUCCUUCCCUGAUAGAAAAUCCUCAUGUAAUCAAUGUCUACCCCCUUCCAAAAGCAUUUACAAAAGAAAAGAUGAUCUGUAAAUAUUAAAUAGAAUUCUCAUCUUGGCUCACAUUUAGAAAAGCAAGAGAAGAAAAACUUCAGCCAUGAUAUUAGUCAUGUUUUGUGAAGGACAUCUGGGUUCAUGUUAGACACAGGUGUGCUCACAACUGAAGAUUUUUACACAACGAGACCUCAUGUAGCUGCCAGGCUCAGCUCUCAUUUGCUUUUCAAGGGGACUCUGGGUGUUCUCAGAGAGUACUUACAGGCGACAGACUGCUUUUUCAGUAACAAAAGAUACUUGGGAAAUACAUUGUGAAUAUAAUCUACAUUUGAUGUGAUGAGUAUUGAGAAAAUCGGGGGCCUAAUUAGGGAGGGGGACUCUUGAUUAUAUUUGAUUUAUCCUUUAAGAAAUGUUUGUGUAAGAAGCACUACUGGGGUGUGUGAAAUGAAGCAUAGGGACAUAAUCCAUAUAUCCCUGAAUUUUCCAAUUUGUGUUUUAACACAAGUCCUACAAACCUAAAGCAUACUUCCCUUUGAGUAUAAUGAUUUAAGAAUUCAUUGAUGAUAAAGGGCUUAUUGUGGGAAACAUUAAUUUUACUUCUAGGAAAGCUUUCUCAGGAAAAUACUGUUUGAAGAGAAGAAGGUAGUACCGAACAAAAGUUUUAAAAGGUACUUUAAAGUUGCACUGAGACGAACAUCUCGUUGUUUCAUGAGGGCGCGUCAUUGGCUAGAGUAUGAUAGGGUAUCAGAUAGCGUUCAUAGUGCUGUGAGGGGUCAGCCAGCAUGCUGCUAGUUCAUCCUUUAGUUUGUAUGAUUUGUAUGAUUGGGGUGAAUUCUCAUCUCUCGUCAUUCAAAGCAGCCCAGUCCACUUUGGAAUCCCAUUGAAAUAAAAAUAGUUACAUAAAAUUUAACUUUGCUUUGCUAUCACUCCCCAUUUUAAUGCACACCUUAAUGAAACUUUCUCUUCACGUUUCCAGUUAAGAGUUCCACCCUUACAGUGGUCAUUAAACUGGCUUUCAACAUAAAAUGAAUAUUUCAGAAGAUAGAACUUCUGUCAUAGAGACGGUCAAACGACCAUAACUAUAUUUAUUCUUUCAGGUUCUAGGAGGUAUGGGGGUCUUCAGGGAGUGCAAGCUGUCACAUUGUUGGCGGGGCCCAGGGCAGCCAGCACAGGGAGAGGCAGGAGGCCUGGCCCCUGGUCCUGGGGGCCUGCGCUUCAGGUUUGGAUUCUGGGCUCCGCCCAGCGGCAGCCUGGAAACAAUAGCUUCCUCCAGUCCCUGGCUCUGUGAGCCGUAGCAGCCAGCACGGAUGUGGCCGUCUGUGGACAUAUCACUGGUAAAGAUGGGUGCUUUGCUUGGCCACAGUGCUUUCAUCUGAGAACUUAGUGUGUUUAAGUAGGCCUGAGGGAGCUAGGGUCAGCCAGGCUUUUUCAGAGUGCGCCAGGCACACAGACUGCAUCUACAGCUUGGUGGACACUUCUCUGCUAUCCAGGUGACUUAAAGAUAGUGUUUGGAAAAAGUUCCUGGCUUUAAUUCCUACUAGGCACUGUAAUGACGAUGACAUAGGUAAGGGAAAGAGGGCUAAAGCUGCCCCAAGUGUCCCAGGCUAAUGAAUAGAAGAAGUUGCCUGUCAAAGUGUGGCUUGUGGUUAUUUUGUAUUUGCAUUGGCUCUUGUAACCAGGAUGAAUAGUCUAUCCCCAAAUCCGUUAGUGAUUUGCCAGCCCUCUGACCCUAAAACAAUUCUCUUCCACUUUUUGCUUUAAGAAACACAGCAGUAAUAUCCUUGGGCAGCAGACCAGAGCAUAUAACCUGAUCUCCUCAACCUUAUCUUGCUUUCUGAGUCCUAUAUUAAACACUGAAUUUUUUUAAAGGAUAAUUUACUUAGAAAGGCAAGGAGGAAACAAACUUUGAAGGGAGAGAGGAGACAUUUAUUGUUGCAAAGCUGAGAGGUUCUUAAAGUCUGCAUGAAAGAAUUUUGGGAGCAGUAUUUAAUAUGCUAAAGGAUGUACGAGUUCUUUAAUGAAGAAAUUAGAUUUUUCAUCUGCUAGUUACAAGCUGUAAAAUGAAGCUUUAUCUCCCUGGCAGGCAAAUUUUGGUUUGGUUUUGUGGAAGUUCAAGCCAGUGGUCCUUUUCCCUGAGGUGUGGUGAUGAGUUUAGGAACACCCAGCUCUGGGAGGGGCCAGUGGACUAAUCCUGAACCCUUGAACUAUUAUCUGCUUCAGCAAUUUUGGAAAGUAGCCUGUUAGGAUGGUAGCCGAUGAAUGUGGCCUGUUACUCUAUUGGGGAGUUGGCUGGGACUCUGGAGAUGGUAUUGACACUGGCGUGCUCUGACUGUGUGGCCAGAGUAUUCAGAGCCGCACAGCAUUCAGUCUGCCCACCCAGUUCUGUGGUAUCCUCUAAACAAGAUAGAGAACGCAGCCCUGGUUUCUAGAAGAAGAUUGUCAUUCCACGUAGCGCAAUGUGUUGCUAGGAGUUUUUUCAUUCCAAGUCUUUGGGCUUCGUAACAUUGGAAUUGUUUUUUCAUAAUUCCCAACAUUCCAUAAAUAUUUGUCAAGGACAAAGAAAAGGAAUGUGUUUCUUUAUUCUUCUCACAUAAAUAACUUUGUACACAUGACUUCCUGCUUUCAUAUGAAGGAGAAGAAACUAGCUCCCUUAUGUGGCAGCUCCAAAAUUAAAAGAUUGUUGCACGUAUAAGGGGUUGAAUAUAUUUUAUAAAACCAAUGCAUUUGUAUUUCUGUGCUGUUCUAAAGAUUACCUUUUUACUUAUAUUAAUUAAAGAUAUAGAAAGUAUAUAUUUAAAUCAUGUAAAUGUGACUCAUUAGGGAGUUUCCUCAAUCUUAAUAUUCAUCAGCUUCUCACACUCAUAUAGUAUGCUGCUCAAAUUUUUCUGUGUGCAAUAUGAACAUUUGAACAUUUCAGUCAGGUACUGAGCCAGAAAAGGUAAUUGAAGUUUUUAGAAAACUUAACGUUGCUUAGAAAAUAUUUUGUUUUCUUGAAAUAGUAAUAAUUUAUAGCUGGAAAGAUAAGAUCAAGACUUAUUUCAGGCCACUUGGUCGCUGGUUCCUAAAUUUAGGAAGCACUUGAUUAACAAGUUGUUGAAAGCAUUUAGUGGGUACAGCAAUAGUUUAAAUACUUGAGAUUGAAGGCUUUCCUCCGAUCCCUUUCUAAGAAGUUUUAGCUUAGAAAUCUUAGAAAGUUUUCUAAGGGAGUAUAGCUGUGGUACAUGUUCCGAUCAGAAAGGUAGUUUCUCUUUGCUCUGUUAGUUUUAUAAUUUAUAACAGUUAUUUGUUUCUGUUGUCAUUUGUUUUUUUUUUAUGUUAAAAUUAUAAAUCACGUCUAAUCAUACUGAAUUAUAAAACUUCUACUGUAUCUUUCUUUUAAGGAAAAAUGAGAAUAAAUUAUCCUGUUUGUCCUGCA